rnacentral:lncRNA from 1 species
AUGUCUCGGACACUCCACUCUGGGUCCUCGGCCAUGUCUCCAGCUCUUUUGAAAAGAUUGGGGGGAAAAGGGGGCUCCGCGGGAGAGAGGAGAGUAGAGGAGAGUGAGAGGGAUCAGGGAAGAGGCUGUGAGAGAAAACACUCAGAGUGGACCACAGAAAGACGAAGAAGAAGAAGAGGAGGAAGAAGAAGCGGCAGCCAGCAGAAGAGGAGCAGCUUUACGCAUGGAUAAAAACCAACCUCUGAUCAGGGACUGAGCAACAUGGCGGCCUGGCUUUGGGUGACAGCGGGACAUGAUGGUGUGGUGUACGGAACGACGCCGGGACGAGAUGUGAUUUAUGGAGAGUGUGAUACCACUGUGAU